rnacentral:lncRNA from 1 species
GGAUUAGAUAUUCUUCAGAUUCAGCUCCAUCUGAUUUCAAGACACAAUAGCUGGAAUCACAUAAACCAGCCCUUAAGUCUAGAACUGGAAGACACAAUUUGAUUUUUGCAUAAAAACAGAAUGGACCAUAGAGCAGGAGAAAGGAGACCAAGACUACAGCUGGCAGAGGGAGAAACUCGGCUUCCCAGUGGGACAUACAGAAUUUGCUUCAUUGCCAAUAAAGCACCUGAGACACUGGAAGCUGGAAAACAUCACAAGCAUGUCUCCCACAUUUCCUAUGGUUGAGGAAUUGUGGAGGUUUUUGGUCCAGUGCAAAGACACAUUUGAGAUGAACAAGAGCAGGUUCCUUAGCUGUUUUUUCUUAAAUAAAUAAUGUG